UGAGGAAUAUUGGUCAAUGGCCGGAAGGCUGAACCAGCCAAGUCGCGUGAGGGAAUAAGGCCCUACGGGUCGUAAACCUCUUUUGUCGGGGAGCAAUGGGUGACUUGCGAGUCAUCAGGGAGAGUACCCGAAGAAAAAGCAUCGGCUAACUCCGUGCCAGCAGCCGCGGUAAUACGGAGGAUGCGAGCGUUAUCCGGAUUUAUUGGGUUUAAAGGGUGCGCAGGCGGUACGGAAAGUCAGCGGUAAAAUUACGGAGCUCAACUCCGCCGAGCCGUUGAAACUUCCGCACUAGAGUGAGCGAGAAGUAAGCGGAAUGCGUGGUGUAGCGGUGAAAUGCAUAGAUAUCGCGCAGAACUCCGAUUGCGAAGGCAGCGUACCGGUGCCGAUCUGACGCUGAGGCACGAAAGCGUGGGGAUCGAACAGGAUUAGAUACC
rnacentral:rRNA from 1 species